ensembl:lncRNA
CAUAUUUUGUAUAUAACGAAAUAAAAUGUAACUUAAAGGGAUAGUUUACCAAAAAUUAAAUCACUGUCAUCGUUUGCUCACCCCUAAACUAGGGCUGGGCGAUAUAGCCUAAAAAAAAAUCCCAGAUUUUUUUCACAAAAAAAUCAGAUUUACACACACUUAAAAUCAAUAUUCAGAUGACAAAGAAAUUGUUCAAAAUAAGUUUUUAAAAUAAGUUUUUAAUAAAGUUAAAAAUAAGUUUUAACUUUAUUUUGUUUUGAUUUUCCCUUCUGGGAUUUGAUCUGGAUUUCCACAUUGGGGUUAAAGUGCAAUCAAAAACAACAAGCCAAAAAGAGCGCAGGCCCUGCCAUUGUAAACAGUGAAAAUGUAACAUAACAUUACAUAAAAUGUAACAUACCAGAUAAAGUUUGUAAAUGUUUGUAAGACUGUCGGUGGUCUUCACUAUUUUUUUCAUGGGAGCUACACUGAUAGGGCAAGGUCAUUCAGAGAGCCACUUUUACCGCAAAGUAUCAAAAGUUACAUCUAGUCAUAAAUAGCAUGUCUUUUUGUUAAUCUGUCAUCCCUGAUAUGCAAUGCAAUACAAAAAUAUAUAUAUACUAGCCCAUCAUGCAUCUAACCAUCCAUCCAAGUGCACACUAAGUGUUAAGAGCUGCUAAAGGGGUCCUUUUAAGCUCUUUUACAAGGUCUUCAUUUUGUUUUGGGGUGUACUAGAACAGGCUCUCAUACUAGGUUGUUCGAAAAACACAUUAUUUUUCACAUAUUUUACAUUAUUACAACUCUCUCCCCAGUCUGGCAUGAACGGCUGGAAUAGUUCCUGUAUCAAAUGAAGGCCCGCCUUCUGAUAUACGAAAUUCUGACUUCGCUACGACAAUCUGGUGCUUCUGAAUCAGCUACUGUGCUGCUAAACCGCACCAGUCUCGCCCAACCAUGGGACCAGCUUAGUGUGUGCCAGUUUAGUUGGUGUGUAUGCCAAACGCAUGGUGGAUGUGUCUGCUGCGGGGACAUUGUAGAGCAGUUCCUGAUGGCUCGCUGGCUCCUGUGUGCUGCCUGGGUUUCAGAUCCCUGGAGGACGUGCAAUCAUCAGUGGUUAGAAAGCUUCCUGUGCAACUAAGCAUCUGCUGAAGCCGGCACAGACCUGCCGGGAAAAGAUGGUGCAGACUAAUUUUAGGGGGAUGUUUUUGACGAGUCGGGUCUGUGUGAGAGGAAGUGAGUAAUUACGAGUCCCACGCAUCAUUAGCACCCCCAGUCUGUCUGACAAGGGCAAGUUUCACACUUAUUUUGGAACGCCUGAAUUUGUGUGUAUGUGUGUGUGCGCACAAAAAAAAUCAAGUCCAUGUGAUGUGGUUAGUCUAUAUAUUUUAUGCAAAAUGCUCUUUCAAAGCUUAAAGCCUCAAAUUUUUCCCAUGAUUUACUCACUCUUUUGUUUGAAACCUGUGUGACCUUCUUUUCUAUACAGCUGAAGUCUACAAUUAUCAUAACUGACUGGCAAGAUUUUCAGUGCAAGACUUAUCAAGAAUGUAUCAAGACUUAGUUCACUCAAAAAUGAAAAUUCUGUCAUCAUUAACUCAUUCCCAUUGUUACAAACUUG